UCAGAGUUUCGGCGUGCGGAGAUUCCUCGACCGGUAGUUAAAGCCUACGAGCCCUGUGUUUUUAAAGGGCAGAUUCGGUGAAAUUCCGAAGCCGACCGUAAAGUCGGGAUGAGAGAAGAUAAAA
rnacentral:ncRNA from 2 species